AUAAGAUAAGUUACAUUCAAAAUGUUUUUUUUUCCUUAAAGCAAAAUAGUUGAAUGAAGAAGAUAUAGCUUUAUAAAAUUUCCACAUGAAAUGCAAACAAACUAAAGGCAAUUUGACCAUGCAGCAUGCAUCAAUUUUCAAAAUUAGGUUAGCAUAUAUAGCGUGUGCUUCUUUUUCUCUAAUAAACAUGCUUGUCUAUUAAAACAAGUUUGCCUACUACAAUUGAAUGAACUCCAACCAGAACAUGCUUUUAUUUCAAUAAGGAGCACAAAAUUCUUUGAAACAUAGUAACCUAUAGCUGAGGUGAAAGGGUAACAUAUGCUUUUGAAAGCAACCAAAAUGCAUGACAUGAAUGUUAGUUAUAUUAAUUGUGGUCUAAUCAGUUAGCAAAGCCAGUAAAUGAAAAAAGCAACAUAAUCUCAAUUUUGUUUGUUAUAUUAAUUUCAUUCUUUAAUAAAUAACAUAAAAAUUCAUCCAUGUUAUCAUAAGAUCAGCUCAUUUCAAUUAAGCAUACAAGAUUCUUCAUGCAAAGAAUGAAGGGGAAGAGCCAUAACAUGUAUCUUGAGGGACAGAGAAACAAAACUGGAAGCUUAGCACUAUAAUUAAGUGAGUGAUAUGCAAUACGAAUAUUAAAGAAUGAAAAAAGCAACAUAAUCUGACAAUUUUGUUUUAAGUUUAUCCAAUCUCUUCAAUAAAAUUAUAUUAAUUGAAAUUGAGUAGGAUUUAAAUAGAAUAAUACAUAAA